rnacentral:rRNA from 1 species
GACGUAGGUGGCGAACGUUAUCCGGAAUUAUUGGGCGUAAAGGGUGCGUAGGCGGCAUGAUAAGUUAUUGGCGGGAAAUCGAGGCCCAACCUCGUGGAAACUAAUAAUACUGUUUUGCUUGAGUACAGGAGAGGUUAACGGAACUCCAUGUGGAGCGGUAAAAUGUGUAGAUAUAUGGAAGAACAUCAAUAACGGCGAAGGCAGUUAACUAUUCUGUUACUGACGUUGAGGCACGAAAGCGUGGGGAGCAAAACGG